UACCGGCAGCUCAAGUGGUAGCCGCGAUUAUUGGGCCUAAAACGUUCGUAGCCGGAUAAGUAAGUCUUUGGUUAAAUCCUGCGACUCAACCGUGGGAAUUCUAGAGAUACUGCUUGUCUUGAGACCGGGAGAGGUUGGAGGUACUCCUAGGGUAGGGGUGAAAUCCUGUAAUCCUAGGGGGACCACCUGUGGCGAAGGCGUCCAACUGGAACGGGUCUGACGGUGAGGGACGAAACCUAGGGGAGCGAGCCGGAUUAGAUACCCGGGUAGUCCUAGCCGUAAACGAUACUCGCUAGGUGUCGGCCACGGUGCGACCGUUGUCGGUGCCGUAGGGAAGCCGUGAAGCGAGCCACCUGGGAAGUACGGCCGCAAGGCUGAAACUUAAAGGAAUUGGCGGGGGAGCACCACAACGGGUGGAGCUUGCGGUUUAAUUGGAUUCAACGCCGGA
rnacentral:rRNA from 1 species